ensembl:lncRNA
CUUUCUAAGUCCUUACUAGUUAUCCCAGCAUUAUUUAUUUACUAUAGUUGACUUUCUCUACAGGGCUCCAUGAGCAGUGACUGAAGAAAUCCAAAUAGGGAACAAUGGAAUAGAGGGAGAAUGAGGGAAAUGACCUUCUUUCUAGAGGGGGAAGCAUACCAAGACUGAUGGAGAAGUAAUUUCUCUGCUGAGUCUCUUACCAGAGAAUUCAGAAUCAGACUUCUACCAUGCAAAAUGGCAUUCAACUGGAGACAGAAAAAACUGGAAUGAUGGGAAGAAUGCCCAGAAGAUCUCCUGGUAUCAUCAUCUAAAAGAAUGUUUUGAUUGGUCACUCAUCCUUUUCAGAGAGCCAAAUAAUCCUCCAGGUAGACUUAAGGGAGGUUUUAAUAAUGAGAUACAAAUUAGAAACCAGAUAUCCUAUUUUAUGUCUUCAUAUCCC